AUCGCUUCUCGGCCUUUUGGCUAAGAUCAAGUGUAGUAUCUGUUCUUAUCAGUUAGACUUACCCAUGUAGUAGUGAUGGAACAUGUGUACCCCAUAUUAGAAUGAUGGUCACAGCCUAGUUGCCCUGCUUCCAAUCCAGCUUUCUGCUACUGUACCUUGCAAGCCAGCAGGUGAUGGCUGAAUUUUGG